rnacentral:rRNA from 1 species
UACGUAGGGGGCGAGCGUUGUCCGGAUUUAUUGGGCGUAAAGAGCUCGUAGGCGGUUCGAUAAGUCGGAUGUGAAAUCUCCACGCUCAACGUGGAGGGGCCAUUCGAUACUGUCGUGACUCGAGUCCGGUAGGGGAGUGUGGAAUUCCGCGUGUAGCAGUGAAAUGCGUAGAUAUGCGGAGGAACACCGAUGGCGAAGGCAAUCCCCUGGGCCUGCACUGACGCUCAUGCACGAAAGCGUGGGGAGCAAACAGG